rnacentral:rRNA from 1 species
UCAGCAUCGGCUAACUCCGUGCCAGCAGCCGCGGUAAUACGGAGGAUGCAAGCGUUAUCCGGAUUUAUCGGGCGUAAAGCGUCCGCAGGUGGUUUUUCAAGUCUGCUGUUAAAGCGCAGAGCUUAACUCUGUAACGGCGGUGGAAACUGAGAGACUAGAGUAUGGUAGGGGUUGCGGGAAUUCCCAGUGUAGCGGUGAAAUGCGUAGAUAUUGGGAAGAACACCAGCGGCGAAAGCGCGCAACUGGGCCAUUACUGACACUCAUGGACGAAAGCUAGGGGAGCGAAAGGGAUUAGAUACCCCUGUAGUCCUAGCUGUAAACGAUGGGUACUAGGUGUUGACCGUAUCGACCCGGUCAGUGCCGUAGCUAACGCGUUAAGUACCCCGCCUGGGGGAGUAUGCACGCAAGUGUGAAACUCAAAGGAAUUGACGGGGGCCCGCACAAGCGGUGGAGUAUGUGG